AACGAACGCUGGCGGCAUGCCUAACACAUGCAAGUCGAACGAGACCUUCGGGUCUAGUGGCGCACGGGUGCGUAACACGUGGGAAUUUGCCUCGGGGUAUGGAAUAACUCAGGGAAACUUGAGCUAAUACCAUAUAAUGUCUUCGGACCAAAGAUUUAUCGCCCUGAGAUAAGCCCGCGUAGGAUUAGCUAGUUGGUGGGGUAAAGGCUCACCAAGGCGACGAUCCUUAGCUGGUCUGAGAGGAUGAUCAGCCACACUGGGACUGAGACACGGCCCAGACUCCUACAGGAGGCAGCAGUGGGAAUAUUGGACAAUGGGCGAAAGCCUGAUCCAGCAAUGCCGCGUGAGUGA
rnacentral:rRNA from 1 species